rnacentral:rRNA from 1 species
CAAGUCGAGGGGCAGCACGAAAAAGCUUGCUUUUUUGGUGGCGACCGGCGCACGGGUGCGUAACGCGUAUGCAACCUACCCUGUACUGGAGGAUAGCCCGGAGAAAUCCGGAUUAAGACUCCAUAGUAAUUAUUAGCCGCAUGGUUUGAUAAUUUAAAGGUUACGGUACAGGAUGGGCAUGCGUCCCAUUAGCUAGAUGGUAAGGUAACGGCUUACCAUGGCAACGAUGGGUAGGGGGCCUGAGAGGGUGAUCCCCCACACUGGUACUGAGACACGGACCAGACUCC